ensembl:lncRNA
CUGGUAGAGGGAGCAUGGUUGGCGUGCUUGUGGGUCCUAAAGGCACAAGGGCUCGAGAGAGCAUCAGGGUGGCCGGAUCGUAGCCCUUGUCCUAGAGGCGGCUGGAAGCUUCAGAAGUUUGACAGAGCAGAGGGGAGACCAGGGCUUUCCAGGUGGUACAGUAUAAAGAAUCUGCUUGCUGAUGCAGCGGACAUACAAGACGUAGGUUCUCUUCCUGGGUUGGGAAGAUCCCCUGGAGAAGGAAAUGGCAAACCCACUCCAGUAUUCUUGCCUGGAAAAUCCCAUGGUCAGAGAAGCCUGGCGGGCUACAGUCCAUGGGGUCACAAAGAGUCAGACACUACUGAGGAUUGAGCAUGUACACACACACUGAGAGGAGACCAGAUCCGCAAAAUUCACCUGGGCUGUAGAGGACACAAGUGGAUACCGGAGAGGUCCCAAGUUCCCAGGAGAGUGAUGGCAGCCUGGCCGGGGAAGUGGCCUCUGAGACGGAGGGGAGGCUGACAUUGGACAUGACUGGGAGGUCCAGAGCACAGGAGCUGGUGUGUCAUGGUGUGGGGGAAAAGGAGGCCGAGGAGGGAAGUGCCAGGACAGUUCCAGGCUCUGGCUCCUGCAAGGAGGGCGGCUGGGGCUGUCCCCUACGGCAGGGCAGCCAGGGGAGCAGGCUCCCGGGAGGUCAGGUGUUUGUGUUGGGCCAGGGUGGGGACAGGCUGCAGGAACAGCCUGAGCAAAGGCGCAGGGAGGAGAAGGGCCACAUGAGGAAACCACAUGAGGACCCAUGGAAUGUGCUGGAAUCUUCCGGAAAGUGGGACUGUGCCUGUUCUUGAUGGCCUUGACUGCAGGCAAAGAGGUCUGAAACCAAGUUAUAGUCAGUGGGGAGCAUAAGAAGGCAUGUUCCAAUGCUGGACAUGGGGAGGGCAUCAGCAGUGACCAGCAGGGGCAGGGAUGAGCCUGUGACAGCUGGUGCCUACACUCCGAGGCUGGAGGUGGGGAUGUGAAUGCCUGGGGCGUGUCACGAGCACACCUCUGGGACAGCCUAUAGGGUGGGUGAGUAAGAGUAACUGUGCGUGUGUCCCUUGCACUGAGUGUCCUAAUCUUCACUCAAGGCGGGCCCUGGGGAACACCUCCGAAUCCUCCAGGACCAGAGUGUGGUCUGACCAGGCCACCAGCUCAAGGGGGAUGAUGAAUGUUGGAGGACCUCAGCCACCAGUCACAGCUCUGGAAGUCUUGGACACACACACACACACACACACACAGACAUGAAACCGCUGUGGAACCUGGAAGCAGCAUCUGACCCCCUCCCCAAAGGAGCUGGGGCAGCAGGUCGGUCCUCAUCUUCAGCUGCUCUUCCCUUCUGCAGAGUCAUUUUGAUUCUGCACCGACUCCCUCCCCAUGGGCUGUUCACACCUUCCACACCCAGCUAGAGAUGGAAGGAGACACUCACCAUUCAGUCCUCACCCAGGCCAUCGACAGAAACGUCAGACAGCGCGUCCACGCCUGAUCACCUCUCUCGGCUGCCAGGGGGGCCAACACCGGCAGGCGCAUCGAUGAGCUCCCGGCCCACCAACUCUGGGCCUGCCUUGGACCAGUGCAGCUGAGUGGCGGCUUCUCUGGACUUUACUUGGAAGGCGUAGCCUGGACCUCGUAGGGAG